rnacentral:rRNA from 1 species
GAUGAACGCUGGCGGCGUGCCUAAUACAUGCAAGUCGAGCGAACGGACGAGAAGCUUGCUUCUCUGAUGUUAGCGGCGGACGGGUGAGUAACACGUGGAUAACCUACCUAUAAGACUGGGAUAACUUCGGGAAACCGGAGCUAAUACCGGAUAAUAUUUUGAACCGCAUGGUUCAAAAGUGAAAGACGGUCUUGCUGUCACUUAUAGAUGGAUCCGCGCUGCAUUAGCUAGUUGGUAAGGUAACGGCUUACCAAGGCAACGAUGCAUAGCCGACCUGAGAGGGUGAUCGGCCACACUGGAACUGAGACACGGUCCAGACUCCUACGGGAGGCAGCAGUAGGGAAUCUUCCGCAAUGGGCGAAAGCCUGACGGAGCAACGCCGCGUGAGUGAUGAAGGUCUUCGGAUCGUAAAACUCUGUUAUUAGGGAAGAACAUAUGUGUAAGUAACUGUGCACAUCUUGACGGUACCUAAUCAGAAAGCCACGGCUAACUACGUGCCAGCAGCCGCGGUAAUACGUAGGUGGCAAGCGUUAUCCGGAAUUAUUGGGCGUAAAGCGCGCGUAGGCGGUUUUUUAAGUCUGAUGUGAAAGCCCACGGCUCAACCGUGGAGGGUCAUUGGAACCUGGAAAACUUGAGUGCAGAAGAGGAGAGUGGAAUUCCAUGUGUAGCGGUGAAAUGCGCAGAGAUAUGGAGGAACACCAGUGGCGAAGGCGACUUUCUGGUCUGUAACUGACGCUGAUGUGCGAAAGCGUGGGGAUCAAACAGGAUUAGAUACCCUGGUAGUCCACGCCGUAAACGAUGAGUGCUAAGUGUUAGGGGGUUUCCGCCCCUUAGUGCUGCAGCUAACGCAUUAAGCACUCCGCCUGGGGAGUACGACCGCAAGGUUGAAACUCAAAGGAAUUGACGGGGACCCGCACAAGCGGUGGAGCAUGUGGUUUAAUUCGAAGCAACGCGAAGAACCUUACCAAAUCUUGACAUCCUUUGACAACUCUAGAGAUAGAGCCUUCCCCUUCGGGGGACAAAGUGACAGGUGGUGCAUGGUUGUCGUCAGCUCGUGUCGUGAGAUGUUGGGUUAAGUCCCGCAACGAGCGCAACCCUUAAGCUUAGUUGCCAUCAUUAAGUUGGGCACUCUAAGUUGACUGCCGGUGACAAACCGGAGGAAGGUGGGGAUGACGUCAAAUCAUCAUGCCCCUUAUGAUUUGGGCUACACACGUGCUACAAUGGACAAUACAAAGGGCAGCGAAACCGCGAGGUCAAGCAAAUCCCAUAAAGUUGUUCUCAGUUCGGAUUGUAGUCUGCAACUCGACUACAUGAAGCUGGAAUCGCUAGUAAUCGUAGAUCAGCAUGCUACGGUGAAUACGUUCCCGGGUCU